rnacentral:misc_RNA from 1 species
GAGUCUCAACCUUACACCCUUCUGGCACAUACACUAGUACUACAUCAGGGGUACCUACACCAUUAAGUAACCAAAACAAAUCCCCUUUAGAACUGAACUCAUAUUCAGACACCCUUUUCAAUAUAGCCUCAGAAUCUACCCUCAACAGACUACCUACAUAAACCCCACUAGGAAAUUCAUUCAACUGAGACAAAGAAUCCAUUAUAUAACCAUCAACAAUUGAAAGUGUAGGCAAAAGGGUAUCUACAGAAACAUCCAAAGAACUCAAAGAUGGAGGUUGAAUUGGCUCAAUUCUUGAAUUCUUGAUAAAAGAAGUGUCAGUGAAUCUAAAAGGCUCAUCUUUACGAGAUGGCCAAGGGGUUGACAAAAGGGUGUCUGAGGAACUGAUUCUUAACUUCUGAAGUGGUGUAGAAGAGGUAGAAGGUAAUGAAUCUUCAAGUGUUUCAGCUAUUUGAAGGACAUAUGGAUCAGAAAGAGCUGAAAUUGGAGUGAAUUUAGGGGUAGUAAAGACACUAAAUUUGGGAUUUUUUUUUGGGUGAUUCUUCUUGUUUUUGAUAAAGAGGUUGAUGAUGCAGAAGGGUUUGUAGAAAAAGUAGGUGAAAGAGCAGAAAGUGCCAUUGAAAUUG